CAUCGACGCCUGAUCACGUCGUAGUCUGAUUGAGGCUCGUCCCCCGCCGCUUCAGACUUGGACAAAGGCCUUAUCCCCCUCUCCGGGCCUUUGUCCCUAUAUUCUGAAGCCGUCGUGGCAGUCCCCCCCGCCCGCCACGACGGCUUUAU
rnacentral:sRNA from 1 species